rnacentral:rRNA from 1 species
GACGAACGCUGGCGGCGUGCUUAACACAUGCAAGUCGAACGGAAAGGCCCUGCUUUUGUGGGGUGCUCGAGUGGCGAACGGGUGAGUAACACGUGAGUAACCUGCCCUUGACUUUGGGAUAACUUCAGGAAACUGGGGCUAAUACCGGAUAGGAGCUCCUGCUGCAUGGUGGGGGUUGGAAAGUUUCGGCGGUUGGGGAUGGACUCGCGGCUUAUCAGCUUGUUGGUGGGGUAGUGGCUUACCAAGGCUUUGGCGGGUAGCCGGCCUGAGAGGGUGACCGGCCACAUUGGGACUGAGAUACGGCCCAGACUCCUACGGGAGGCAGCAGUGAGGAAUAUUGCACAAUGGGCGGAAGCCUGAUGCAGCAACGCCGCGUGCGGGAUGACGGCCUUCGGGUUGUAAACCGCUUUCGCCUGUGACGAAGCGUGAGUGACGGUAAUGGGUAAAGAAGCACCGGCUAACUACGUG